rnacentral:rRNA from 1 species
UACAGAGGUCCCAAGCGUUGUUCGGAUUCAUUGGGCGUAAAGGGUGCGUAGGCGGCGCGGUAAGUCGGGUGUGAAAUCUCGGGGCUUAACUCCGAAACUGCAUUCGAUACUGCCGUGCUUGAGGACUGGAGAGGAGACUGGAAUUUACGGUGUAGCGGUGAAAUGCGUAGAUAUCGUAAGGAAGACCAGUGGCGAAGGCGAGUUCCUGGACAGUUGCUGACACUGAGGCACGAAGGCUAGGGGAGCAAACGGG